GUCGAUUUUCUCAGGGUUUAUUAUUAUUAUUUUUUUUUUUUCAGAAUUUAUAGCUUUGAGUUAUAUUUUCGGAAGCGACGCCAGUUUUAACCACAGGAUAUGUAGACCACAAUGAUGUUUUCAAAUUAGGCACCGUCACUGCAUCUGAGGUUUGAACUUUCUGGUGGAAGUCUUUUGGCAACUGUUGGCUCCAAUUAAAUGAUCUUAGUUCAUUGCAUGUGGGUUGAUGGAGCAACAGGCUUGUUGAUUUGCUGCAUUCUAGUUUCCCAUAAACGAUCAAUUUUGGACUGGUGUUGCGAAUGAAUAGCAAAUGAUAGAUGUCUUUUCAGAGGAGGUGGAUGCUUUCUGCAGGUUAAAGGUGCUAUGAAUAGAAAGUGGAGCAGAAAGAUGGGCUGAAGUUCGAUAUUUAGACCUAGACGCCAGUUAUAGUCUCUUGUGAAUGCCUCGUGAGAUGGCGAAGAUAAACUAAGAGUUAGUUCAUGUAUUGAACAUU